rnacentral:rRNA from 3 species
UUUGGUGAUGAUGGCAGAGAGGUCACACCCGUUCCCAUACCGAACACGGAAGUUAAGCUCUCUAGCGCCGAUGGUAGUUGGGACCUUGUCCCUGUAAGAGUAGGACGUCGCCAAGC